GCUCCCUUCGUCUAGCGGUCAGGACAUCGCCCUCUCAAGGCGGGAACACGGGUUCGAGUCCCGUAGGGAGCGCCA
rnacentral:tRNA from 1 species